CAGCCGCCGCGGGAAUACGUAGGUGGCAAGCGUUGUCCGGAAUUAUUGGGCGUAAAGGGCUCGCAGGCGGUUUCUUAAGUCUGAUGUGAAAGCCCCCGGCUCAACCGGGGAGGGUCAUUGGAAACUGGGAAACUUGAGUGCAGAAGAGGGGAGUGGAAUUCCACGUGUAGCGGUGAAAUGCGUAGAGAUGUGGAGGAACACCAGUGGCGAAGGCGACUCUCUGGUCUGUAACUGACGCUGAGGAGCGAAAGCGUGGGGAGCGAACAGGAUUAGAUACCCCGGUAGUCCUUGUCUCUUAUAC
rnacentral:rRNA from 1 species